AACUAACGCUGGCGGCGUGCCUAACACAUGCAAGUCGCACGAGAAAGUCCGCUUCGGUGGAUUAGUAAAGUGGCGCACGGGUGAGUAACGCGUGGAUAAUCUACCCCUCAGUUGGGAAUAACUCAUCGAAAGGUGGGCUAAUACCGAAUGAUACUGCACAACUACUGUUGUGUAGUCAAAGAUGGCCUCUGCUUGCAAGCUUUCGCUGAAUGAUGAGUCCGCGUACCAUUAGCUAGUUGGUAGGGUAAUGGCCUACCAAGGCAACGAUGGUUAGCUGGUCUGAGAGGAUGAUCAGCCACACUGGAACUGAGACACGGUCCAGACUCCUACGGGUGGCUG
rnacentral:rRNA from 1 species